AUGAAACAGCAUAUACUCUGUAUAAAUACAGACAAAUAGUUUUAAUUUAGAAAUCUCAAAAGACAUACAGACUGAUAUGAAUAUCUUAUGUACAAUAAUAUUAAACUUAAUUUAAAAUCUUACAAUGCAAAAUGUUCUUGCAGGAUGGGAUGUAUACUAGCGAUGUAUACUGGGGCCCGGGGCCUCCCCUGGGGUGGGGGGCAGCCCCGGGCCCCGGGGUGGUGGGGUCUACCUAUCUUGUGACUGUAAGUAUAAGUAGAUAAGUAGAUAAGGGCGUAAAAUGCUCAAUAGAUAAAUGCCAUACUGACCCUUACUGAUCACACAGAAGAGGAAACUUGGCAAUUGGCACAACGAUCUUGGGCAGACCAGACACGCGAGACGAGGGUCCCCAGCGUCCACCAGGCCUCCUCCUCCUCCUCCUCCUCCUCCUCAGCGACACUCUAUGGCUUCGUCUUCAUCGUACUCGAGGGAAAAAGGAAGAAGGAAAAGAAUCAUCUUCUCACUAGUACGCAAGCGGGGAGUAAAUGUUAAGUCGAGGGUUGGUUUCUUCCUAUCUAGAAUACAGAUUUACAUCACAUGAGGAGAGUCCGGGCCGCCUCUCUCCGAUCCUCCCUCCUCCUCCUCCUCCUGGCGAGUUCCUCCUCCGUCACCGCCUCGCCAGCUCUGUACAACGUUGCUUCACUCGCUUCGCUCUCCCUCCUCCCGCGCGCAGGGGGGUGAGGAGCGCCACUUUGCUCCGCUAGGUGGCGUCCCUCUGACCCCCUGCACACUGCCUCACACGCCCGCACACGAGUUCGUCUUCCUUGGAAUAUCAAUAUGGAAUGAAAUAUUGUCUAACAGGUUUUCUACUCAGGUUUAAACAAAAAAUCAUAACUCUAAUCAACACUUUAAAAGCUUGUGAUCAAUCCAGACUUGUUGGUGUUUGAAUACAUAACAGACACACGCGAGGGAGGAAGAUAAUCAGAAUUUUCUUUGUGUUUGUUUUCGAUAACCGGGGUCGUCGGGAAGGGACCGAUGCGUGGCUCCAUGGAGAACAAACAAACAAACAAACAAACAGGUCAACGAACAAAGAAACAAGGAAGGCACAAAAAGCCACACAGUCACAAACAAUAAACUAGCGGUCAUCAUCAUCAUCAUCAUCAUCAUCAUCAUCAUCAUCAGCUCCAACACAACAACAGUACAGUCCCGCGCUUGUCCACUCAUCGUCGCCUCAACAAGUUAUUUUUUUCUUAAGACAUACAAAAAAAAAAAAAAAAAAGGAACAGACACUGGAAUCUUACCAUAUGUAUAUAAUGUAUGUAUAGUUAUGUAUAUAUAGUAUGUAUAUAUUCCCUAGCCACCACGUCACCUACUGGGAUGCGUCACGGAGGAGGAAGUGAUCGAGACGGUACAGGAGGCGUUCGAAGCGCUUCACCCGGGGUUCGAGGCGGGUUCGGAAGGCGUUUCGGGGCCUCACACGCACUAGGGACACACGUCUCUCGACUAUCUUCUAUUCACACACACAAUAUAACCACGAUGACAGGCUGGGGGGGCGGGGGAACGCGGGGGGGUGUAGGGGGUGGAGGGGGGUGGGGGUAAGUGAUUGUCUUUGUGGGGGGAACGAAUCGCUGUUCACGGAGCCACUGAAGCAGAUUCGUGGCUCACUCGUCACUGUUCGGCUCAAGGUCACUCACAUCUUGACCUCGUGUGACCUUGCGGUGACCUCCUGACUCAAGGCGGAGGUGUGAAGCUUCGAGACAUGUACCGAAGCUUCACUGGUGCGUGUCCGAAGCAGCAGUAGCGGCGGCGGCGGUGGUGGAGGCGGCGAUGGUGGAGUCUCAUCCUCGGUUUUAAAUAUUAAGAGCGUCUCCUUGGCUCCUCCCCCCCUCCCCGACACGGCCCCGAGAGCUCUUGAUGAAUAAAUAUGAGGUGGGAAUAGGUUCUCUUAGGGACGCCGAGCCCGGGUCAGUCCACUUGGUCCUGGCGGGGGAGUCCUGGUCGGGGCCAUUCGGGAGGGGAAGUGAGUCGCUGUCCACCACUUCACGCAAGGUCGAAAGUCCCGGUACAACCCUUCGCCAGAGAGUCCGUCCGGCUUAACACUGUCCUCCCCCUGUUCAUUGUUACAACCUUUCGCGUUUUCUCGUCCAUUCGGCUUGAAAUGAUGAGAACUACAACGCGUGAGUGAUUGCUAAUUCCGUUUGUCUUCUCGUUGCUCUCUAUCUCUUUCUCUCUCUCUCACCUGGGCUCGAACGCAGGUACAGUCGGCAAAUAAAGUAUCGGAACACUCAAUGGUCGACUGAAUAGACUUUGAGCGAAACCUUAAGACAUGGUGUUGUGUUGGUUAGGUGGUAGACUCGACCCACUGUUACCUACCAACACAAAACCAUGUCUAUAGGAUUCGCGCAAAUUCUGUUCAAUCGACCCAACAAAGGUGUCGAUACUUUUUUUACCGACUGUACAUUUGUUUACUUAUCAUUUUUUCGCUUCAUUAAUCCAUCACGCCCAGAGCCGAUCAGGUAAAGGUAUUCUAAUGGACUUUUAUAAUACAUGACCGGACACUAAUUUCCCUGAUCUAUAUUAACAGGCGGGUGGUAAUUAUAAUGAGCUCAGGACUUAAUCAACGAAUCUCUCGGUGAAACGUCAUUCGCUAAGCAGAUUUCGAAAGGUGAUCAGGUAAGAGGCUAACAGAGAGUGAGAGUGAGUGAGAGGGGGCAUGGGGGAGAAGGAGGGGAGAAGGGGGGAGAAGGGGGGGGGAGAAGAGGGGAGAUGUGAGGUAUAUUUCUUCAUAUGUGGAUAAUCGAGUGCCCUUUCUUCCCUUCCCUUUAUUGUGUUGAGAAAGGGGAGAUGGGAGAAAGGGGAAAGGGUGCAGGGGAAGCAGUGAGGGUAGAAAAGAUGGAGACGUGAGAAGAUAGGGAAAAUGAUAGGAAGGGAAGGGAGGGGAAGAGGUUGAUGAGGGAAGGAGGAGGAGGAAAGACAGUGGAGACGUGACAAGGGAGAGAUGAUAAUGGGAGGGGAAGAGGUAGAUGAUAGGAGGAGGUGGGAAGGGGAAGAAGAGGGAGGGGAAGGGAGGGGAGUGUUAGGGAAGAGGUAGAUGAUGGGAGGAGGGGGAAGGGAAGAAGAGGGAUGGAGAGGGACGGGAGUGUGAGGGAGGAGGUAGAUGAUAGGAGGAGGAAGGGGAAGAAGAGGAAGGGGAAGGGAGGAGGUAGAUGAUAGGAGAAGGAAGGGGAAGAAGAGGAAGGGGAAGGGAGGAGGUAGAUAAUAGGAGGAGGAAGGGGAAGAAGAGGAAGGGAAAGGGAGGAGGUAGAUAAUAGGAGGAGGAAGGGAAAGGGAGGAGGUAGAUGACAGGAGGAGGAAGGGGAAGAAGAGGAAGGGAAAGGGAGGAGGUAGAUGAUAGGAGGAAGAAGGGGAAGAAGAGGGAGAGGAGGUAAUAACUAAACCUAUCCUCACCAAUACCAACAAUGACAAUAAAAAUGGCAAUAAUCAACAACAACAAGAACAGUGACGAUGAAGGGAGGUCAAUAAUAGAAAGAUGAUAAUGGUAGCGAUCAGAAGAGGUCAGUCUAGAACCGCUGACUCAAGGGAACAGACCACAGACCGCUUAGACGACACACCUGGCCCGGGUCUAAUUAAGGUCCAUUUGGGUUACCUGUAUAAUGGUCUCAAGAUUGACUUAACGUUUAAAGCUCGUUCACCUUCGUUCUAAUUCCUCGUUCAGCCUUUUUCCUUCGUUCAACAGUACGAAUUCACAAGAUCAACAGCUUAACUAUAAUACAACGUCUCAUUAACACUAUCAUCUGCAAAAUAUGACGGACUACAUCAUUAUAAAUUAGCUAACAUAAGAACAACAGUUGACUUGACGUAAUAAUAAUAAUAAUAAUAAUAAUAAUAAUAAUAAUAAUAAUAAUAAUAUCUUCGGCCAAUCACGACGCGAGUUUAACAUCGUAAUUACGUCACCGGCUUAGGUUUUAAUGACGUCACAAGUUCGCUUUUUUCAGCCUUACAAGAAUCACCGGUUUUGUGUUUUUGGCUCACCAAUUAACGUCGAACUAAAGAACAAUGGACUACUUAAGGAGUAAACAGUAUCAUCGUCAUCAUCCUCUCUCGUUCCCUCUCUCCAACGGGAUCACAAACACGAACACAACAUAAACAAACACUUCCACCAAUCGCGUCAAUUCUGUUUCUCGUCUUCUGGAUCUGUUGUUUCUUUGAUGCCCGACUCAAGAACAGGUCAAAAACGCGUUCCCUCAAUCACAUACACGUACAAAACAUGAAUGAAACAGACAACGGACAGGAGCCUCCACGCGCAAUUUCCACACAAUUAUGAAGCAAGAUAAAAACAUUAACGAUUGAAUAAACAGGGAAAAAACAAAACAUGACAAGACAUACCCAACAAAAUAAAAGCGCAUUGAAAUUAAAGUUACGAGACAAAAUUCCAGGAGUAAAAAAAAACACUGAAUUUGAAUUAGUAAAAAAACAAAAACAAACAAAAAAAAGCAAUUGGAGACCGUAUGCAAAAUGAGUCAAAUUGUGAAAUCAAAGGACAAAUGACCCAAUUAUCUUCAGGUAAACAAGAGGAAAGGGGGGGAGGGAGGGAGAGGAGGGGGAGGAGGAGGGAAAGGUAGGAGAGAGGGGAAGAGAAGAGGGUGUAUGAAGAGGAGGAGGAGGAAAUGGAAGGGGGGAAGAUAGGGGUAUGAGAGAUGGAAGAAGGGUGGAGGAAGAGGAAGAGGAGGAAGGAGAGAAGGGGGAAUGAAGGAAGGAGUGAAUGAGGAGGAGGAGGAGGAGGAGGAUAAAGGGAGAACAGACGUAACAAAGAGGAGGAGGAGGAGUGAAAGGAGGAGGAGGAGGAGGAGGAGGAGGAGGAAACAAGGAGGGGCUGGGGCGGUGGGGGGAGGGGGGGGGGGUCACGCCUUUCAUUUUAACUCAUAAUGGAAAACGCAAGUGGGCUAACUCAGGCUUGUGGUCUCAUCCAUAAACAGAGACUGGACGAGAUACAGCGAGGGAGGGGGGUGGAGAGUGCGUGGGAGAGAAAGAGAGGGAGAGGAAGUGAGAUGACCUGUUGUACUGUUUCUCUCGUUCAUUUCACUACAUCUCUCUCUCUCUCUCUCUCUCUCUCUCUCUCUCUCAAGCAUAGUGGUAGUAGCAUGACUUAAGGAAGCUCGUAUAUAAAUCAUCUCCUCUUCCUCUUGUCCUCUCCCCUCUUCUUCCUCUUCCUCUUCCUCCUCCUCGUACAAUUAUACCAUUAUUUCCUUCACUCUUCACAACCAAAAUAUUGAAGGCAUUUUGAUCUCCGCCUGAUGACUAUCCUUUUGAGGGAGGCAUAAUUUCUCUCUUCCUGGGAGAGGGAGAGAAAGGAGAGAGGGAGGGAGGAAAGCGGGGUGGAAGAGGAGGAUGAGUAGGAGAAAGUUGGGAUGGGAGGGGAAGAAAGGAAAGGAAGGGUUGGUGGGGUGGAGUGAGGGAGGAAAGAAGGUAUUAGGGAGGAAAGAAAGGAGGAAAGAAAGAAAGGAGGAAAGAAGGGAGGAAAGAAAGCUAUAGAAAGGAAGAAAAGUUAAGAAGAGAAAGGAAGAUGGUGAAAGAGGAAGAGAAAGGAGGAAAACCGAGAAAAGAAGAGAAAAUGAAGAAGGGAAAGAAGAGAAAGGGAAAGAUGAGGAAGGAGUAGAGAAAGAAAAAGAGAGAUAAAAGAAACGAGGAAGGAGAGAGAAAGGGUGAGAGAGGAGAAGGAGGAAGGAG